UGAGGAAUAUUGCACAAUGGGCGAAAGCCUGAACUAGCAACGCCGCGUGUGCGAAGAAGGCCUUCGGGUUGUAAAGCACUUUUUGAGAGGAUGAGGAAGGACGGUACUCUCAGAAUAAGUCUCGGCUAACUACGUGCCAGCAGCCGCGGUAACACGUAGGAGGCGAACGUUAUCCGGAUUUACUGGGCGUAAAGCGCGUGUAGGUGGUUUGGUAAGUAGGGCGUGAAAGCUCCUGGCUCAACUGGGAGAGGCCGUUCUAAACUGCCGAACUAGAGGAUGGUAGAGGGAGGUGGAAUUCCGGGUGUAGCGGUGGAAUGCGCAGAUAUCCGGAGGAACACCAGUGGCGAAAGCGGCCUCCUGGACCACUCCUGACACUCAGACGCGAAAGCUAGGGUAGCAAACGG
rnacentral:rRNA from 1 species